rnacentral:rRNA from 1 species
UACAGAGGUCGCGAGCGUUGUUCGGAUUCAUUGGGCGUAAAGGGCGCGUAGGCGGCGGGGCAAGUCGGGUGUGAAAUCUCAGAGCUCAACUCUGAAACUGCACUCGAUACUGCUUUGCUUGAGGACUGGAGAGGAGAUUGGAAUUCACGGUGUAGCAGUGAAAUGCGUAGAUAUCGUGAGGAAGACCAGUGGCGAAGGCGGAUCUCUGGACAGUUCCUGACGCUGAGGCGCGAAGGCCAGGGGAGCAAACGGG